rnacentral:rRNA from 2 species
UCAGGAUGAACGCUAGCUACAGGCUUAACACAUGCAAGUCGAGGGACCGGCGCACGGGUGAGUAACACGUAUCCAACCUUCCGGUAACUCCGGUAUAGCCUUUCGAAAGAAAGAUUAAUCCCGGAUAGUUAAAGCCGGUUACCGAUGGGGAUGCGUUCCAUUAGGCAGUUGGCGGGGUAACGGCCCACCAAACCUACGAUGGAUAGGGGUUCUGAGAGGAAGGUCCCCCACAUUGGAACUGAGACACGGUCCAAACUCCUACGGGAGGCAGCAGUGAGGAAUAUUGGUCAAUGGGCGGAAGCCUGAACCAGCCAAGUAGCGUGAAGGAUGACUGCCUAUGGGUUGUAAACUUCUUUUAUAAGGGAAUAUGCAUGUACCUUAUGAAUAAGGAUCGGCUAACUCCGUGCCAGCAGCCGCGGUAAUACGGAGGAUCCGAGCGUUAUCCGGAUUUAUUGGGUUUAAAGGGAGCGUAGGCGGGCGCUUAAGUCAGCUGUGAAAGUUUGGGGCUCAACCUUAAAAUUGCAGUUGAUACUGGGUGCCUUGAGUGCAGUAUAGGCAGGCGGAAUUCGUGGUGUAGCGGUGAAAUGCUUAGAUAUCACGAAGAACUCCUAUUGCGAAGGCAGCUUGCUGGAGUGACUGACGCUGAUGCUCGAAAGUGUGGGUAUCAAACAGGAUUAGAUACCCUGGUAGUCCACACAGUAAACGAUGAAUACUCGCUGUUUGCGUGCAAGCGGCCAAGCGAAAGCGUUAAGUAUUCCACCUGGGGAGUACGCCGGCAACGGUGAAACUCAAAGGAAUUGACGGGGGCCCGCACAAGCGGAGGAACAUGUGGUUUAAUUCGAUGAUACGCGAGGAACCUUACCCGGGCUUGAAUUGUGAAGGUGCUGCAUGGUUGUCGUCAGCUCGUGCCGUGAGGUGUCGGCUUAAGUGCCAUAACGAGCGCAACCCUUAUCCACAGUUACCAUCAGCUGGGGACUCUGUGGAGACUGCCGUCGUAAGAUGGAGGAAGGGGGGGAUGACGUCAAAUCAGCACGGCCCUUACGUCCGGGGCUACACACGUGUUACAAUGGGGGGCAGCAGGCAGCUCGGCGGCGACGCCCGGCCAAUCCCUCCCCUCUCAGUUCGGAUGGAGUCUGCAACCCGACUCCAGAAGCUGGAUUCGCUAGUAAUCGCGCAUCAGCCACGGCGCGGUGAAUACGUUCCCGGGCCUUGUACACACCGCCCGUCAAGCCAUGAAAGCCGGGGGUACCUGAAGUGCGUAG